UUUUUUUUUUGGUUGGUUUUGGGGGAGAGAGGUGGUUGCACGGCAGUGGAGGUGCGAAGCGAAUUUCAGAUCGCCGACAACCGGAAUUAGGGUUUGCGAGAAGGGGAAAGAUCUCUAUGCCGAGGGAAGUAGAGAACCUUCUCGGAUCGUUAGAUCCGAUUUCCUGGCGCUUCGAAUCUAUUUGGCCAGUUCACGUCGUGGCGGUUCUCGCUUCUUCCGCUAAUCGCUCGAGGAUUUUCUCUCUCUGACGCUGUAAUUCAGCGAUUGAGCUCCAUAGGUUUCAGAGUGGUUGGUUCUAGGUUUCCAUAGUAGUACGAUGGAAGCUGGCUAUGGUUGUUGAACUGAAGGUCGAUAAUGGGACUUGGGAGAAGCUCCAGAGGUCAACAGAUUCGGGUUCAAAUGUAAACAAGGAUAACAAGUUAUUGAAAAUGGUUCCAAUGCUGUGCAAGCCAAUGGUGUCCUGAUUGAAGAUCCAUUAAACGAAGAUGAUCUUCAGACAUCUGGAGCAGGGAAUGAAGCCUCUGAGGCUAUUUUGGAAAACAAAGUCUCGAAUCUUUCAAAGGAAACCGGAUCUGAUGGAGAUAAUCGAUUGAAGAGUGUCAAGGUGCAGAAGGAUCGAGAUGGUCAGAAUGGUGCCCAGGUCAAAUCACAAAACAAAAAACCUAGCCUUCACAGGGUCUUUCAUUCCCUGCCAGAGGUACUCUUGCCAGCAGUCUGAGGAAGAGUACACUUCUGGGAAGCAGGGGAAAGCAGAUGUAAAAGGCUUGGGCUCAAAUGGAUCAGAAGAUCCACCUCAAUUACCAAUGGUGAGCUUCCUGCUAAGCAAUCCAACUCAGCUGCCGCAUGCCAGUACUCGGCCGAUCAUUGGUGAGUCUCUGAAUGCAGGCUGACACACUGCUCUUUG